GUGCCAGCAGCCGCGGUAAUACGAAGGGGGGCUAGCGUUGCUCGGAAUCACUGGGCGUAAAGGGCGCGUAGGCGGCGUUUUAAGUCGGGGGUGAAAGCCUGUGGCUCAACCACAGAAUGGCCUUCGAUACUGGGACGCUUGAGUAUGGUAGAGGUUGGUGGAACUGCGAGUGUAGAGGUGAAAUUCGUAGAUAUUCGCAAGAACACCGGUGGCGAAGGCGGCCAACUGGACCAUUACUGACGCUGAGGCGCGAAAGCGUGGGGAGCAAACAGGAUUAGAUACCCUGGUAGUCC
rnacentral:rRNA from 1 species